rnacentral:rRNA from 1 species
ACGAACGCUGGCGGCGUGCUUAACACCUGCAAGUCGAACGGAAAGGCCCUGCUUUUGUGGGGUGCUCGAGUGGCGAACGGGUGAGUAACACGUGAGUAACCUGCCCUUGACUUUGGGAUAACUUCAGGAAACUGGGGCUAAUACCGGAUAGGAGCUCCUGCUGCAUGGUGGGGGUUGGAAAGUUUCGGCGGUUGGGGAUGGACUCGCGGCUUAUCAGCUUGUUGGUGGGGUAGUGGCUUACCAAGGCUUUGACGGGUAGCCGGCCUGAGAGGGUGACCGGCCACAUUGGGACUGAGAUACGGCCCAGACUCCUACGGGAGGCAGCAGUGGGGAAUAUUGCACAAUGGGCGGAAGCCUGAUGCAGCAACGCCGCGUGCGGGAUGACGGCCUUCGGGUUGUAAACCGCUUUCGCCUGUGACGAAGCGUGAGUGACGGUAAUGGGUAAAGAAGCACCGGCUAACUACG